AGUGAACGCUGGCGGUAGGCCUAACACAUGCAAGUCGAACGGCAGCACAGUAAGAGCUUGCUCUUACGGGUGGCGAGUGGCGGACGGGUGAGGAAUACAUCGGCAUCUACUUUUUCGUGGGGGAUAACGUAGGGAAACUUACGCUAAUACCGCAUACGACCUACGGGUGAAAGCAGGGGAUCUUCGGACCUUGCGCGAUUGAAUGAGCCGAUGUCGGAUUAGCUAGUUGGCGGGGUAAAGGCCCACCAAGGCGACGAUCCGUAGCUGGUCUGAGAGGAUGAUCAGCCACACUGGAACUGAGACACGGUCCAGACUCCUACGGGAGGCAGCAGUAGGGAAUAUUGGACAAUGGGCGCAAGCCUGAUGCAGCCAUACCGCGUGGGUGAAGAAGGCCUUCGGGUUGUAAAGCCCUUUUGUUGGGAAAGAAAAGCAGCAGAUUAAUACCCCGCUGUUCUGACGGUACCCAAAGAAUAAGCACCGGCUAACUUCGUG
rnacentral:rRNA from 1 species